rnacentral:rRNA from 1 species
AGUGAACGCUGGCGGUAGGCCUAACACAUGCAAGUCGAACGGCAGCACAGAGGAGCUUGCUCCUUGGGUGGCGAGUGGCGGACGGGUGAGGAAUACAUCGGAAUCUACUCUGUCGUGGGGGAUAACGUAGGGAAACUUACGCUAAUACCGCAUACGACCUACGGGUGAAAGCAGGGGAUCUUCGGACCUUGCGCGAUUGAAUGAGCCGAUGUCGGAUUAGCUAGUUGGCGGGGUAAAGGCCCACCAAGGCGACGAUCCGUAGCUGGUCUGAGAGGAUGAUCAGCCACGCUGGAACUGAGAUACGGUCCAGACUCCUACGGGAGGCAGCAGUGGGGAAUAUUGGACAAUGGGCGCAAGCCUGAUCCAGCCAUACCGCGUGGGUGAAGAAGGCCUUCGGGUUGUAAAGCCCUUUUGUUGGGAAAGAAAUCCAUCUGGUUAAUACCCGGAUGGGAUGACGGUACCCAAAGAAUAAGCACCGGCUAACUUCGUGCCAGCCGCCGCGGUAA